rnacentral:rRNA from 1 species
UACGUAGGGUGCGAGCGUUAAUCGGAAUACUGGGCGUAAAGCGUGCGCAGGCGGUGAUGUAAGACAGUUGUGAAAUCCCCGGGCUCAACCUGGGAACUGCAUCUGUGACUGCAUCGCUGGAGUGCGGCAGAGGGGGAUGGAAUUCCGCGUGUAGCAGUGAAAUGCGUAGAUAUGCGGAGGAACACCGAUGGCGAAGGCAAUCCCCUGGGCCUGCACUGACGCUCAUGCACGAAAGCGUGGGGAGCAAACAGG